GACGAACCGAGCGAACGUUAUUCGGAAUCACUGGGUUUAAAGGGUGCGUAGGCGGUCUUUUAAGUCAGUGGUGAAAUCCUCCAGCUCAACUGGAGAACUGCCAUUGAUACUGGAAGACUUGAGUAUAGUUGAGGUAGGCGGAAUUGACAGUGUAGCGGUGAAAUGCAUAGAUAUUGUCAAGAACCCCGAUUGCGAAGGCAGCUUACUAAACUAUAACUGACGCUGAGGCACGAAAGUGCGGGGAUCAAACAGG
rnacentral:rRNA from 1 species